AUACGGAGGGUGCAAGCGUUAUGCGGAAUCAUUGGGUUUAAAGGGUCCGCAGGCGGAUUAAUAAGUCAGUGGUGAAAUCCUCUCGCUCAACGAGAGAACUGCCAUUGAAACUGUUAGUCUUGAAUUCGGUCGAAGUAGGCGGAAUGUGUUAUGUAGCGGUGAAAUGCAUAGAUAUGACACAGAACACCGAUAGCGAAGGCAGCUUACUAGACCUGGAUUGACGCUCAUGGACGAAAGCGUGGGGAGCGAACAGGAUUAGAAACCCUAGUAGUCC
rnacentral:rRNA from 1 species